GCUGGGUGCUUCAUUCAAUUAUUUUGUAUACACACAUUUGCAACAGUAGAACUAUUUACAUUUACUGCAAUGGCACAGGACCGAUAUUUGGCUAUUGGAGAGCCUUUGAGAUACCCAACACUAAUGACCAAUGGAAAAGCACUGAAUUAUAUAGGUAUUAUUUGGAUAACUGCUAUUGUCCUUGUCCUUAUACCUGUGAUAAUGACCAUAAAACUUCCUCUGUGUGGUAAAAACAUAAACAAUGUGUUUUGUGAUAACAUGUCUCUAGUAAAUUUGGCUUGUGGUGACACCUCCAUAAAUAACAUAUUUGGAGCAAUUCAGACUUUCAUUGUAUAUAUGGUUUCUCUGCUGAUUAUAAUGUAUUGUUACAUAAGGACAUUUCUCAUCUGUUUAAAGCUCUUGAAAGAUGCACAUCAGAAAGCUCUCAGUACUAUAGUAAGCCACCUGAUUGCGUUUUCAUGUUUUACAGUUGCAAGUUUUUUUGUUUUCUUGCGUUACAGACUGAACAGUGGGUCUAUUCCUUUAUUUGUCCAUGUUAUACUCAGCUGCAUGGGCAUUGUUACCACUGCCAUUGUAAACCCUCUUAUUUUUGGAAUAAUGACAGAAGCUUUCAGAGUGAAAAUGAUCCAGAACCUAUUAAAAAUAUAUGCUCGCUAGAAUAUUAAAAAAAAUUAAAGAAUUAUUCUAAAAAAGGGUUGCUAGAAAAUGUGUAGCUCUCAGAGUAUAUCUGUACUAUGGACACAUACAGAUAUUGGAAAAAAAAGAAUGGGGGGGUUUAGUGUAUUAGAACCUCUUUUCAAGGGUCAGAAUGUUGUUCCCAUUGUUUAGUUCACAGAUCCAAGUAUAUCUUAAUAUAUUUAUUAAAUAUAUCAUUUAAAAGUAUUUCCUUACUUCUAGUUUUUCCCUGUAAUAUUCACCUCUCACUCGAUCUGUGAAUAAAAUAAAAAAUUAGUGAUUGUCCCAUCAAUCAUCUAGUAUUUGGCGCCACAAGGAGAAUACUGAAUACUGACCUCUUCUACUCCCUCAGAACAUGUUUUCAUUUUGUGGUUCAGAUAUUCAAGUUCAACUAUAUUUCUGCUUAGAUUACAGGAAUUUUUGCUGACACUCGACUGGGACAAUUUUCAAAAUAGUUGCAG